AUCCAACGCUUCUUCUUCACCUGAAAUUUUGCUUGGAUUCUCUUCGUUUAAAAACAAUACCAGACUAACUUUUUUCUGAUGAAAUCAAUAAUCGAUCUUGGAUGCAAGUAUAAAGAGACUUUCCUCAUCCUUCGUUCAGUUUAUUGAUUUCCUGUGAAUACACACAACAUGGAUGGGAAGAAGAAGAAGAAUAAGUGAAAAGAUCUAGUUUUGUUGAGGAAGAAGCUGAUAAGAAGUAUCAUCAUUGGCUUGAUAGCAUGAAGAAGAGGGAAAUCGGCAGUUAUUAAAGGUAGUGGUGGUGGUGAAAGAGCUAAUUCUUGGACGAGGAGUGGUGUUGCGGCAACAUGAGAUUUUUGUUAGUUUUUUUGAGUAGAUUUUUAUGAUAUUAUGGGUUUGUGUUUCUUCAGCUAUGAGAUUAUUAUGAGAUUAUGG
rnacentral:sRNA from 1 species